GGAUGGGGAUGGAAGGUGGGCUGCGGAUUUUGGCUGGGGAAGGGAUGCUAUCUGUGCCCAUGGGAUGACUCUAGCACGAGGCAUGUUCCAGGCCCAGAGGCAGUGCCAUGGUCUCACCUCUACACAGGGGAUGCUAUGCUUUCGUUUCCCUUUGGUUCAUGUUUCUCCAGCACAAGUCUGAGAGGGAUGCACUGCUGCCCAGGCUGGGUACCUAAGCCAGUUGGCAAGUCUAUUCUAUGGCACCCCUCCCCCACAUCCUAUUCCAGCUCACUGUGCACCUUGCUUCUCUCCUAGGUCCCAAUAAAUGUCUUCUUAAAGUCCUAUCAGGGUCAUUUUCUUCUAGCAAUUCUUUUAUUUGGAGGAGCAAAAUACAAAGGCCAAAAGGGAUUGCACACCUCCCUGUUCCACCCCCUCACCAUAGUUGGUAGCACUGAGAUCUAGCACCAAGCCCUGAUGAGUGGCCCAUGAUGGAUGCUUAGACCAGCCAUGGCUGUAUUACCAUAGCAACUAAUAAUGCAGCUGCUGCUUGUGGGACCUUGUCAAUGACACUGCUAUGCCACUCUGGCUGUUUAUACCCAGUGAAACAAUUUUCCUAAGGUCAGUGACUUGCAUGGCACUUCCAGACAACGCU
rnacentral:lncRNA from 1 species